UACAGAGGUCUCAAGCGUUGUUCGGAUUCAUUGGGCGUAAAGGGUGCGUAGGCGGCGCGGUAAGUCGGGUGUGAAAUCUCGGAGCUUAACUCCGAGACUGCAUUCGAUACUGCCGUGCUUGAGGACUGGAGAGGAGACUGGAAUUUACGGUGUAGCGGUGAAAUGCGUAGAUAUCGUAAGGAAGACCAGUGGCGAAGGCGGCUCACUGGUCCGGUACUGACGCUGAGGUGCGAAAGCGUGGGGAGCAAACAGG
rnacentral:rRNA from 1 species